rnacentral:rRNA from 1 species
GAUGAACGCUAGCGGCAGGCCUAACACAUGCAAGUCGAGCGGUACCCUUGAGAAGCUUGCUUCUCUGCGUACGAGCGGCGGACGGGUGAGUAAUGCCUAGGAAUCUGCCUAGUAGUGGGGGAUAACUUGCCGAAAGGUAAGCUAAUACCGCAUACGUCCUACGGGAGAAAGGAGGGGACCUUCGGGCCUUUCGCUAUUAGAUGAGCCUAGGUCGGAUUAGUUAGUUGGUGAGGUAAUGGCUCACCAAGACCACGAUCCUUAACUGGUCUGAGAGGAUGAUCAGUAACCAUGGAACUGAGACACGGUCAAGACUCCUACGGGAGGCAGCAGUGGGGAAUAUUGGACAAUGGGGGGAACCCUGAUCCAGCCAUGCCGCGUGUGUGAAGAAGGUCUUAGGAUUGUAAAGCACUUUAAGUUGGGAGGAAGAGCAGUUAACUAAUAUUUGACUGUUUUGACGUUACCGACAGAAUAAGCACCGGCUAACUUCGUGCCAGCCGCCGCCGUAA